rnacentral:rRNA from 1 species
UACGAAGGGUGCAAGCGUUACUCGGAAUUACUGGGCGUAAAGCGUGCGUAGGUGGUUGUUUAAGUCUGUUGUGAAAGCCCUGGGCUCAACCUGGGAACUGCAGUGGAAACUGGACAACUAGAGUGUGGUAGAGGGUAGCGGAAUUCCCGGUGUAGCAGUGAAAUGCGUAGAGAUCGGGAGGAACAUCCAUGGCGAAGGCAGCUACCUGGACCAACACUGACACUGAGGCACGAAAGUGUGGGGAGCAAACAGG